rnacentral:rRNA from 1 species
AUUGAACGCUGGCGGCAUGCUUUACACAUGCAAGUCGAACGGUAACAGGCCUUCGGGUGCUGACGAGUGGCGAACGGGUGAGUAAUGCAUCGGAACGUACCCAGAGGUGGGGGAUAACGCAGCGAAAGCUGUGCUAAUACCGCAUGUGAUCUGAGGAUGAAAGCGGGGGACCGAGCAGCAAUGUUUGGCCUCGCGCCUUUGGAGCGGCCGAUGUCGGAUUAGCUAGUUGGUGGGGUAAAGGCCUACCAAGGCGACGAUCCGUAGCUGGUCUGAGAGGACGACCAGCCACACUGGGACUGAGACACGGCCCAGACUCCUACGGGAGGCAGCAGUGGGGAAUUUUGGACAAAGGGCGCAAGCCUGAUCCAGCAAUGCCGCGUGCGGGAAGGAGGCCUUCGGGUUGUAAACCGCUUUUGGCAGGAACGAAACGGUGUCCGCUAAUACCGGGCGCUAAUGACGGUACCUGCAGAAUAAGCACCGGCUAACUACGUG